GGAAUCUGACACCCUCUUGUGCUGAACAAUGGGUCAACCAUACCAAGUCAGUCAAGUCGAAAGCUGUCGGGGGAGGUGUUUGUCUUCUGAGAGAAUCCUCCCCAUGAAAUCUCCCACAAUGCCUGUCACUGGUACCUAAAAUUACACCAUUAGAGAUUCAGUCUUCUGGUUCUGGAGGCAUUUUAAUCCCUGGGGGUCCUAUUAAAAUGCAAAAACUCCGAGAAGAAUAAUAGCAUUGAAAGCUAUUAUUAACUGACAGCAAGGAGGCCCUUGGGAAUUGGACACGGGAUAGAGCCUGAGGAACAACUCCAGGAAAUUGGGGUACAAG
rnacentral:lncRNA from 1 species